UGGGGCGUCGCCAAGCGGUAAGGCACCGGUUUUUGGUACCGGCAUUCCCAGGUUCGAAUCCUGCGCCCCAGCCA
rnacentral:tRNA from 1 species